rnacentral:sRNA from 1 species
AUGGCUGUCGUCAGCUCGUGUCGUGAGAUGUAUGGUUAAGUCCAGUAACGAGCGCAACCCCUAUCCUUAUUUGCCAGCGCAUAAUGGCGGGAACUAUAAGGAGACUGCCGGUCAUAAACCGGAGGAAGGCGGGGACGACGUCAAGUCAUCAUGGCCCUUAUGGGUAGGGCUACACACGUGAUACAAUGGGUGGUACAGAGGGUCGCCAAAGCGCGAGCUGGAGCCAAACCCUUAAAACCAUUCUUAGUCCGGAUUGGAGUCUGCAACUCGACUCCAUGAAGUUGGAAUCGCUAGUAAUCGCGAAUCAGAAUGUCGCGGUGAAUACGUUCUCGGGCCUUGUACACACCGCCCGUCACGUCAUGGAAGUGGGUUGCACCAGAAGUGGCUUGUUUAACCUUCGGGAAAACGGUCACCACGGUGUGAUUCACAACUGGGACGAAGUCGUAACAAGGUAGCCCUAGGGGAACCUGGGGCUGGAUCACCUCCUUAAAAAAUAAUCGCUUAGGAUAGGCGUUCACAUGAAUUGCUUGCUUUUACCUAAAUCAUAUCUUUAGGGAUAUGAGAUUACGGAGAGUUCUUUAACAUUUUUAUAAGUUCAAUCAAGUCACAUCAUAGUGUCUUAAUUUUUUUAAUUUAGAUAUGAAUGAUGUGCAAAUGUCACCAAACCCGUCAUGUUUUAGAACAUAAGUUUGGUGUACAUACUGCAAAGUAAUUUUGGCGAAUGACAAUAGAUACUUGAAGAACAUUAAUCAUUAAGUUGUUUGAUGUAAUAUGGUCAAGUAAAUAAGCGCAUACGGUGGAUGCCUUGGCAGCUAGAGGCGAUGAAGGACGUAGUAACUUGCGAUAAGCUUCGGGGAGCCGGUAAACAGGCUUUGAUCCGAAGAUUUCCGAAUGGGGAAACCCGG